rnacentral:rRNA from 1 species
GCGAACGCUGGCGGCAGGCCUAACACAUGCAAGUCGAACGAGGUCCAUGGAGCUUGCUCCGGAAGAUCUAGUGGCGAACGGGUGCGUAACACGUGAGAAACCUGCCCCGAUCUCUGGGAUAACAGUUGGAAACGACUGCUAAUACCGGAUGCCGUCACACCGCUUCAUGGCGGAGUGCCGAAAGAUUCAUCGGAUCGGGAGGGUCUCGCGGCCUAUCAGCUAGUUGGAGAGGUAACGGCUCACCAAGGCAUCGACGGGUAGCUGGUCUGAGAGGAUGAUCAGCCACACUGGGACUGAGACACGGCCCAGACUCCUACGGGAGGCAGCAGUGGGGAAUCUUGCACAAUGGGCGAAAGCCUGAUGCAGCAACGCCGCGUGCGGGAAGAAGGCCCUAGGGUUGUAAACCGCUUUCAGUAGGGAAGAAAAUGACGGUACCUACAGAAGAAGGUGCGGCCAACUACGU